rnacentral:rRNA from 1 species
UUCGCAAUGCCCGAAAGGGUGACGAAGCGACGCCGCGUGGGUGAGGAAGGCCUUCGGGUUGUAAAGCCCUGUCAGGAGUUAAGAAAUAUAAGUGCGCUAAUAUCGCAUUUAUUUGACGAAGGCUCCAAAGGAAGCCACGGCUAACUCUGUGCCAGCAGCCGCGGUAAUACAGAGGUGGCAAGCGUUGUUCGGAAUUAUUGGGCGUAAAGAGCACGUAGGUGGGUUUGUAAGUCAGAUGUGAAAGCCUUCUGUUCAACGGAAGAAUUGCAUCUGAAACUGCAAGUCUUGAGUGUAGGAGGGGAGAAUGGAACUUCUGGUGGAGCGGUGAAAUGCGUAGAUAUCAGAAGGAACGCCGGCGGCGAAAGCGAUUCUCUGGCCUAUUACUGACACUCAGUGUGCGAAAGCUAGGGGAGCAAACGGGAUUAGAUACCCCGGUAGUCCUAGCUGUAAACGACGGGCACUAAGUAGAGGGGUUUU